rnacentral:pre_miRNA from 1 species
GUCUGCGUCACUCAUGGUAUUUGAAGAUGCGGUUGACCAUGGUGUGUACGCUUUAUUUAUGACGUAGGACACAUGGUCUACUUCUUCUCAAUAUCACAUCUCGCC